rnacentral:rRNA from 1 species
GAUGAACGCUAGCUACAGGCUUAACACAUGCAAGUCGAGGGGCAGCAUUAGGUAGCAAUACUGAGAUGGCGACCGGCGCACGGGUGCGUAACGCGUAUCCAACCUUCCCGUUACUCUCGGAUAGCCUUCCGAAAGGGAGAUUAAUCCCCCGAUGUUGUCGUUGUUCCGCAUGGUACAUCGACCAAAGAAAUUCGGUAUGGGAUGGGGGUGCGUUCCAUUAGCUUGUUGGCGGGGUAAACGGCCCACCAAGGCGACGAUGGAUAGGGGGUUCUGAGAGGAAGGUCCCCCCANACUGGCACUGAGACACGGGCCAGACUCCUA